rnacentral:rRNA from 1 species
AACGAACGCUGGCGGCAUGCCUAACACAUGCAAGUCGAACGAGACCUUCGGGUCUAGUGGCGCACGGGUGCGUAACGCGUGGGAACCUGCCCUUAGGUUCGGAAUAACUCCCCGAAAGGGGUGCUAAUACCGGAUAAUGUCUUCGGACCAAAGAUUUAUCGCCUUUGGAUGGGCCCGCGUUGGAUUAGCUAGUUGGUAGGGUAAAAGCCUACCAAGGCGACGAUCCAUAGCUGGUCUGAGAGGAUGAUCAGCCACACUGGGACUGAGACACGGCCCAGACGGAGAGGGGAGGGAGCAGUGGGGAAGAGGGGAAGAGGGGCGAAUGCCGGAACAAGCAGUGACGUGGGAGUGAGGAAGGCAUGAGGUUUGUAAAGCGUUGGGACCGGGGAAGAAAAGGAAAGGAGGGGGAGAAAAGGCUCCGGCAAACGCCGGGGCAGAAGCGGCAGUAAAAAUCGGAAGCGCAAAAUUCUGAAC